CCCUAUAAUUUUUGCACUCUCUUUUAUCCCCUUUGCCUUUAUACAAAGGAACUAUGCAUGCUCUCUGCCAAUCCCUAGGUACCUUACCCUCUUCCAUACAUUUAUUAAAUAAUUGCAACAUACAAUGAUAUAUAUACAACAGGACAAAAGAUACAUAUGUAUAAUGAUAUAUAUACAUGUAUAACAGGACAAGCAGGAAAAUGUUUAAUGGUUGGUUUCCUGUUCCAUUCUCACCAUUAAGCUAGCAAGUAGCAACUCAGGAAAAGAUUAAGAUCCAAACUUGUCCAGCUAAUGGGUACUUGUCCAGCUAAUGGGUACUUGAAAUGAGACUGGAGUCACCUUGUAAUUCAGUAUGGCCAAGACAUUUUAUGUAACUGUGGUGACUGAAAAUAAUUUGAUAAAUAUUGUAUUUUUGAGUGAAAGGUGUUUUUAUUGUAUUUAUUUGUUAAAUAUAACUAUUAAUAAUAUUUAAUAAGAGAAAUGGUUAUGUUUGUAAACCUGAUACAUUUUUUUUUCUUGUACCAUAAAUAAAUGUUGUACAGUUUUGUCAGGGCAACUAAUAUGCCUAAGUAAUCAUUUUUUUAAGAUUUUAACAGUGGAUGGUAGAUAUACUUUAUACAGUGGAUCCCCGGUUAACGAUAUUUUUUCACUCCAGAAGUAUGUUCAGGUGCCAGUACUGACCGAAUUUUUUCCCAUAAGAAAUAUUGUGAAGUAGAUUAGUCCAUUUCAGACCCCCAAACAUACACGUACAAACGCACUUACAUAAAUACACUUACAUAAUUGGUCGCAUUCGGAGGUAAUCGUUAUGCGGGGGUCCACUGUAUAGUGUUUUCAUUAACUGAGAAGGAUCAGUUCCGUGGUUGAAGCUACAUUACCCUUCCAUGAGUUAAGUUUAAUUACCCCCCAUUCCACAGGCACUGCAUGUCCAUUAUGGGUUUAGUACUUCCUCAUUAAUGCAUUAAUAAUCAUCAACCAAUACUAAACUUAAUCCAUUGUAAUUUAUUUCAUAUAUGUCUCAUAAUACAUCAAAUUAAGCUACAAAACAUGCAGAUUUUCUUCCAGGAAUUAUUAUUUUUCUGCAUUUUAGAGGUAAUAUAUUUUUGUACUGUACAUCAAAACAUUUAUAUUCCUACUCUAUUUUUACCAUUGAUAAAAAAAGGUUUCUGACAACAGAGGUGUCCGUAAAAGGUGAACAAAUCUCCUGGAUGUAUGCUCAGCAUAAUAAUAAUAAUAAUAAUAAUAAUAAUAAUGAUAUCUUUAUAUACUCCAAGUACUUGUACAAGGUAUAUAGAUCUAGCUGACGUCAGUGACAUACUACUAUAUAGAAAACCGCUUGUUAUGCACAGCAUUUCGGGCAAAUUAGGUCAGUUUUGUCCCAGGAUGCGACCGACACCGGUCGACUAACACCCAAGUACCCAUUUUAAACUGAUGGGUGAACAGGGACAGGGACAGCAGGUGUCUUAUGGAAACACGUCCCUAAUGUUUUCCAGCCGUACCGCAGGAGAUUAGCACCCUGGACGUUAGUGUGUGAGUUGAGUGCACUAACGAUCGAGCUACGGGACACCCAGUGUUAAAGUAUCAUAUUUCAAUAUUCAGCUUGUCUAUAAGAGUCAUAUAUACAGUUGCACAGUGUUGCAUGUGCAAAAUUUGACACUUUUUAAUGUUUGCAACAGUGUGGCACAAUAAAUACUAUACUCCCAAUAACAUCUUGAUCAGUAAACAUCUCCACAUGAUGUGAGAUAAGUUUGAUAAACCAAGUAUAAUAGUAAAGAGUUGCCUCAAUAGAAAGAAAAGAGAGAUAAGAUAGGAGGGAAAGAUAACAAGAGCUCAACUCUAUAAGAGUAAAUUACAUGUCAUGUUUAGCUUUUAAAACUGUAUCCUUCAAAAAUACUAUAUACGUGUAUUUGUAUCAUGCUUCUAGUCAGAUUUUUUUUUUUUUUAGAAAUGAGAAAAACAUCUGAAAAUAAAAAUUGCCAAUUUUAUUAAGACCAUAUUUUCAAUACUCAUGUUCCGAAUAAUCCACAAAUUAUGAAUUUUCCAAAGCACUAGUUGUGCUUUGUAAUUACAAUGCAUGGAAAAAUAGGGCUAAAGAGGGGUUAUUGAAGUGGUUUGAACAUUUAUAGAGGAUGAAAAAUAGGAUGACUAGGAGAGCAUAUAAAUCUGGAGUGGAGGGAAGGAAGUGUUGACUAACACCCAGGUACCUCUCACUCCUAAAGAGUGAGAGGAGGCAAGUGGUUCUUACGAUUUAACAUGCUGUUGGAGUGAGUAAAGUAACAUUUAUGAAGGGAUUCAGGGAAACCAGAUAGCCGGACUAAAGUCCUGUUGGUGGGAAGUACAGUACCUGCACUCUAAAAGAUGGGUGAGGAUGUUGCAGUUUGGAUGGUUUAUCUGAACUGUCAUGUUAGUGCCCUUCUGGCAAGACAGUGGUUGAAUGAGAGAUAGUGAAAGUGCUUUCUUCGUUAUCGGGUCACCCUACCUGUGGGAGACAGGCAGAGUUUUAAAACCAUUUCUUAAGCUGACCUUGUUGCCCAUUGGAGAAAGGGAUAUUAGUUGAGAUAGGAAAAAUGUCAAUUAUGUUGCCUUUUUUCUGUUGAAUGUGAUUGUGCAUGAUGGAGAGUGACAGGAUGAUGAAGAGGUGUGUAAAUCUGGAAUGAAAGACAGGAACAGUUAGAGGAUGGGGUUAAAGAGGGUUUGCAUUUUAGGGACUUGUGUGUGCCUUAUUGGAAAGCUAUUUUCAACUGUAGUGCACCAGUGGCUAUUAGCCACUAUAUAAUCCUUAUAAGAUUAGCUCUCUCACACAAAUGUACUGUCUAGUAGCAAAUUUAAGAAGGUAUUCAGUUUGUAUAAUAAGUUUUUCUUUCUGAUCAAUACCUCAUAAACAGAAUUACAAAAUUGCUUCAGAAUGGUACAGUGGUUUAGUAUUUUUCAGUACUCGUUGGAACAUUGAACGGUGGCCUGGUGGCUAAAGCUCCCGCUUCACACACGGAGGGCCCGGGUUCAAUUCCCGGUGGGUGGAAACAUUUCGACACGUUUCCUUACACCUGUUGUCCUGUUCACCUAGCAGCAAAUAGGUACCUGGGUGUUAGUCGACUGGUGUGGGUCGCAUCCUGGGGGACAAGAUUAAGGACCCCAAUGGAAAUAAGUUAGACAGUCCUCGAUGACGCACUGACUUUCUUGGGUUAUCCUGGGUGGCUAACCCUCCGGGGUUAAAAAUCCGAACGAAAUCUUAUCUUAUCUUAUAUACUAUCUGUGGUAAAAAGUAUUCUUUAAAUGACCUAUAUGUCAUUUUCCACAUUCCUCACUACAGGGCCCCGUUUAACAAAAUAGAUUGAUCGACAGAUAAGUUUUGUAUAAGACCAAUAAACAUCUUCAGCCACAUUGUUUAGCAGUGCCACAAUCUGCCGAGAACUUUCUGCCAGGUGUUUUCACCCAACAAAUACUGCAGCAAAACUUGAACUUGAGAAUACCAACGCUUCCUUUUGAUCUACAGUUAUUUUAAAAUGUCUUUUUCAUAUUUGUCAAAAUAAGCCCAGAAAGAGGCUAGUUUUCACUUGUGAAGGUGGCAGAGCAAUUUGUUAAUAACCUAGUUGAAUCAAUGCUUACAUGUUGUUUUACACUCGACCAAACUAUAAAUGUACUUUUUUCAUAAGCAAAUUAGCUAAUUUUAUUGUUCUGACCCUUCCCUAUAUGACUCUUUUGGGUUUAGCACUUCUCCCUGAUUAAAAUAAGUGUCCCUAUGGGUUUAGUGCACCCCAUGAUUAUAAUAUAGUAAUGCAGACCAGAACUGCAACCUUUAUGUACUAGCAGGGAUAUGUUCCUAGAGGUCUUAGUCAAUGCAAACACUGUGAAUGCCACUAUAUUUUUUUGUAUAAAAGUUCAUUAUGCUAAUAUAUAUUAAAAUAAUACUAUACAGUACUCAAGUUUUGAUUUUGAUGUAAUGUAAAUAACUGAUGUGUUGCUGUAGGUAUUUCUUGGGAAGUUGAAAGGUUGAUUCAUCUGUACACUCAUCCAGAGUGGUAGAGGUGGUUGUUACAGUGGUGUUUAUGGUGGUGCCCUAAGUGGUUGUUACAGUGGUGCCUGAGGUGGUUGUGGUGGUGGUGCCUGAGGUGGUUGCUGCAGUGCUGGUUAUGGUGGUGCCUAAAGUGGUUGUGGUGGUGCCUAAAGUGGUUGUGGUGGUGGUGCCUAAAGUGGUUGUGGUGGUGUCUAAAGUGGUUGUGGUGGUGAUGCCUGAGGUGGUUGUGGUGGUGGUGCCUGAGGUGGUUGUGGUGGUGGUGCCUGAGGUGGUUGUGGUGGUGGUGCCUGAGGUGGUUGUGGUGGUGGUGCCUGAGGUGGUUAUGGUGGUGGUGCCUGAGGUGGUUGUGGUGGUGGUGCCUGAGGUGGUUGUGGUGGUGGUGCCUGAGGUGGUUGUGGUGGUGGUGCCUGAGGUGGUUGUGGUGGUGGUGCCUGAGGUGGUUGUGGUGGUGGUGCCUGAGGUGGUUGUGGUGGUGGUGCCUGAGGUGGUUGUGGUGGUGGUGCCUGAGGUGGUUGUGGUGGUGGUGCCUGAGGUGGUUGUGGUGGUGGUGCCUGAGGUGGUUGUGGUGGUUUUUGCCUUUUCAUUACACUUGAUAAUUUACUGGGUAAAAGAAAUAUGAAUAUGAAUAAAAAUAUGAAUAUCUGCCACUGUAUUCAAAAGCAGAUGGUGAAUUAUUAUUAUCAUCAUACUUGUCCUCGUGACAUACCUGUGACUGAUUUCAAUAACUGUACCCUCGCAGCCCAGCUUCAGGUCAGGCCCAUUUGUGGACCAUCUGGUCAUCCAGGCUGUUUAUGUCAUUAGUCUGCAAACCCACAUAGCCAUCACCAGUUGGCUGAUCAGGCAUUUGCAGGAGAUCAGGUCCAGUUUUCUCUCGAAAACUUUCCCUAUCAUGACCAUUUGUAGGAGCCCUACAGUGCCUAUGAAAUAGGAGGGGUAGUUCCAGUUCCUUGGAUCAGGAGCCAUUCAUCAGCAUCAAGGCACCCUUUCCCUCUCUUUCUUUAAAGGAGCAGAUGGAACAGAGUAAAAAUAAGAAGCAGAGUAUUGUACAGUUCUACAGUGUUAGAAACAUUCCUUUUAAUACUCCCUUUAAGAGGAUGCUGGUAAAACGCUCUUGAUCCAAGGAAUUUGAGCUACCUUUCCUUUCCCCAGAUUAAACCUUACUUCCACCCUUUCCCAAGUGCUGUUUGAGCCCUAUGGGUUUAGCACUUUGCUACGAAAAUAAUAAUUUAUGCUACCAAUAGAAGCUCUCGUACUAGGUAUUUAUUUAGUAAUUAGUUGCUGUUACAAGUACAAUACAAAAUAGUACAUAAAUUUGAUUUAUUAAUUUAUUCAUAUUUUAUCAGGAUGAGGCUGUCAUUCCUUUACAAUUAGCUAUGAUAUUUAUUUUAACAUUGAUAUUGUUUAUUCUCAGUAACAACAAACAAGAACGCUGUGUAAACCACACAAGUUUGGCACUUGUUGUCAAAUAUAAUAAUAUCCCCCUGUUUGAUGUUAUUGUAAUAAUAAUAAUAAUACACUCAGAUGAUAAUGAUAAUAAUAAUAAUACACUCAGAUGAUAAUGAUAAUAAUAAUAAUAGACUCAGGAGUCAAUGGAUAGUGGAUGAUUGUACCAGAGGUUUAUAGUUAUUGAAAUAAAACAUAUAAAAUAAUGUAGCAAGGUCCAGUAUAGAAAUUAAUUUCAAAUAAAUUAUACAGUAAGUUGAAAGUGCCAGAUUGACAUUAUUUGUAAAAGUCUUUAAAAGGUUUUAAAUUAUCAAAUGUUGAUGUGACUGUGAAAGUUAUGAUGAUGAAUGUGAAGUUUUUUUGAGAAAUCACUUGGACAGAAAAUUGAGUAAAACAGAACUGUAUACUGUGCUGUAUUUUGGUUCCUCAGUGGAAGCUCCUUUAUGCCAGUCAGGAGCUUAAUGUCCAAGGAACUGGACCUUCGUUUACCCUGGAGUGAACCUGAGUGCUUCCCAUUUUCCUGGGCAUUGUAUGUGACCUUCCUUCCCUAUAGGUUUAUUGCUCCCAUAUGAACGUACUACUACUACUAAUAAUAAUAAUAAUAAUGCUACUGCAUUUUAGCUUCCGAGACUUUACUGAUAUUGCAUGGCAAGACUUGCUGACAAAUAUGGUAAAAAAAAAAAAAGAAUGUUAUGUGCAGAAUAAAAAUUUAUUUACAGAUGACAUUUCAUUCUUAAGUACAUAGAGCUUUAUCAAGUCAGUAGACUUGAUAAAUUCCGACUUAAAACAAAAUAAUAUCUAUUAUUUUUUUAUUCAUAUAAAAUGUGCCUGUAAAUAAAGGUUUGCUCUGUGCCAGCCAUUUUUUACCAUACUAUGCUGAAAAGGAUCUUGCACUGAGGCCAAAAUAUACAGAUUUUUUUUCUUUCAAUAUUCUGUUCAAGUGGUUUGUUACUUCUCGCUGCUCAAUGUUUAUUACACUAAUCCAAAUGUAAAGUAUGUUAUGUGUGUGAUGAGUCUUGGCCAUUAUGAGAAUACUUAUGUCACCUAAAUCCAUCUGUAUUUAUUCAACAGUAAAGAUUAAGUAAAUUUCCAAUAAUAGUAAUGAGACGGCAGAAUCUUACUGGUAUUACAAGUGGGCAGGUAAAUACACCUAUGUAAAUAAUGGUAAGUAAAAGGGAAAAAAAAUAUGUCAGUGCUAGAAUGUGUUAAAGAAAACUGUAAGUAAUGAAAGAUACUGUAUAA